UGAGUGGCCUCCCCAACGUAUUAUUAAUUAUUAUGGACCGGCUACUUGGGCAGAAGAUGGUACUAUGGAUAUAGAACCCCAAUAUAUAUGCUCAACCGUAUUAUAAGACUACAGGCGGUGGUUGAGAUUAUCACCAAUGAGACAGCACAAGCGCUCAAUCUCCUAGCUAAACAUAAUACUCGAAUUAGAUCAGCCAUCUAUCAAAAUAGAUUCGCUCUGGACUACUUAUUAGCAGUAGAGGGAGGUGUAUGCAGGAAGUUUAAUCUAAGUAACUGUUGUCUGCACAUAGACGAUGAAGGGCAGGCAGUGGCUGAACUUACCAGUCACAUGGUUAAACUUGCGCAUGUACCUACUCAGGUCUGGAGUGGGUAUAACCCAAUUAGUUGGUUUGGAAGUUGGUAUGAGCAGCUUGAAGGGAUUAAGGCAUUAGUAGGAGGAGUAGUAUUUAUUAUAUUUCUAUGUCUCUUUCUGCCCUGCUUAAUUCCAUUAGUGGUUAGGUCCAUACAAAGUGUUAUAGACAGCACUAUUGAGAGGAAGACAGCUGCCCAUGUAAUGGCUGUCUAUAGAUAUGAACCUUUAGCCCAAAGAGAGCAUAUUCAGGAUGGGGAAUGCUGAAAGAAUAUGCUAAAGAUGCUUACGAGGUCUGUUCUGGUUCAUGGCUACUUGAGAGGUGUUUGCAAAUUAUGAUUGAUGAUGCAUCUGGAAUUAUUUUAUAUCAGAAGCAUCAAAGGGGGGAAUGUGGUGGAAUUCCAGUAAAAUAGAAGUUUAGUAGGCCAAGAUUGCCACGUGGCAUAUGUAGGUACAUGUGUUUGUAGUAUCAGUUAGUUAGUUACACGUAGCUAAGAUACUGUCAUCAAUGUACUGAGCAUGUGCAGGAAUGUGGGAACUGAAAUCACACUCCUUUCUCCUUUGUUUCGGAUGAGCCAUGUGGUCAGACCGGAUGAGCAAGUCCGGACUCUGUUUAUUGAUUGGUUAAGGGUAUGUGUGGUGUAGCUAUAUAUGGGAG